GGGCUAAGUGCUCGCUGGCCCAACACGCUGGGCGCUACGAGGCCCACCAGACAGGUCCACACCUUCUCCCCAGCCCUGUGCCCCCUGAAGCUACUGCCUGGCUGUCCCCAUCCUGUUCCAGCCAAACCUCCCCGGACAGGUGCGUGCUCACAGCUCCAAGGCCCUGGCGUCCCCGAUCACCCUGACCCCUGAACCGGCUGUUCCUCCGCUGCACCAGGAGGAACCAGCUCAGCCCCGUGGACCCACGGCUCCCCAUGGCUGUCCCUGUGCCCACCCACUGGACUUCCGAAGUGCAGACAGGAGGACUCAGCAUCCACAAAUCCGAAAGGCAGGACUGGAGGAGACGCGGGGAUCGAACUCAGGACCUUGCAUUUGCCAGGCACAUGAGGCACCACUGAGCUACAUCCCCAGCCCCUCCUCUUUCCUCUUAAAUAAAUGUAUUUAAGUUCAAAGUGGGUUAACAAAAACAAUAUUGAGUUAGUACAGUGCAAAUAGCUCCCUGAUACGGAGAAGACUGGGGAAGACAGUGGCUGACGGAGUGGAGCAGAACCCAGGGGCGGCGGGGAGGCAUCUUCCUGAAAGCCCUGGUGAAAGAGGGUGACCUGAAUAACACAUGCGUGGGGAGCGGCCGGGGGCUCCAGGACCUGGACCUCCCUGUUCCUCCGGUCCUCCCCACCACCAGCUCGGAAGGAAGAGUGGGAGCUUCCUCUGCUAAGGGCCUGGACCCUUCCGGCCUCUCUGCCCUGCUGCUUGUCGUGUCCUCCCCGGAACCAUCAGCUCUGGAGCCCAGCCUGGCCCCACUAAGCCAGGGCACUGCCUGCUGUGCUAGGCAGCCUGGCUCCUCUGCCCUCCCAGCACCCUUGGCACCGCAGCUGCUGACAUCUAAGACAGGUCUCCAAAUUCCACCCUCAGGGGCUCUCUCCUGGCCCAGAGAACUCCUGUUCCUCCUCCCUGCCCCCUCCAUGCCAGUCUCUCCUUGGCUAUCUUUCCUGGGGGAGCAUGCAUGGCUCUGAGGCUGCAGGGACUGGGGGGACUCCGGGACUCACCCU
rnacentral:lncRNA from 1 species